AAAUUGAAGAGUUUGAUCAUGGCUCAGAUUGAACGCUGGCGGCAGGCCUAACACAUGCAAGUCGAACGGUAACAGGAAGCAGCUUGCUGUUUCGCUGACGAGUGGCGGACGGGUGAGUAAUGUCUGGGAAACUGCCUGAUGGAGGGGGGUAACUACUGGAAACGGUAGCUAAUACCGCAUAACGUCGCAAGACCAAAGAGGGGGACCUUCGGGCCUCUUGCCAUCGGAUGUGCCCAGAUGGGAUUAGCUAGUAGGUGGGGUAACGGCUCACCU
rnacentral:rRNA from 1 species